rnacentral:tRNA from 1 species
GCCCGUGUAGUUCAGUUGGAAGAAUAACAGACUCUUAAUCUGGAGGUCCCCGGUUCGAGCCCGGGUACGGGUA